UGGAUUAUGAUUUUUGUUUAUUUUUCCUGUUUAUCCAUAUAUUAUUUUUCAACAAUGAGUAUUGAUUACUUAUAUAAUAAUUUUAAGGCUGUACACAUUGCAGACAGCACCCCACUGUUUGAAAAACUCCUCCUCAGUAGAACAUGGCAGACCUUCAUCUUCCUUCCCUGAACCUUUUCCAACCUUAGGCUUGCCAUUCUCCACCAGUGCUAAUGUCAUGUCUCUUGAAAUCUGUAUUGAAGUCAGUAUUUCAUUCUUGCCAGUUUCCACUGUGUGUUUAAAUUUGGAGUCUGGUGUCUAGCAUUAGCUGGGGUUGGAGCUUCCACUCCUCUCAGCAUUGGUAAGCCUCCUCACCCACCCCAUCCCAUGUCCAAGAUCACCCAGUUACACACUUACCAUCUACCCAGUUCAUUCACAUCAUCAGUCCCAGAGCUGCAGAGAUGCUCUUUUUCUACCUCCUACUUCUCUGGCUCUUAGAGAGGCAGCAUGGGAUAAUGGGGCAAGCGAAUAGGGCCUUAAAGUAGAGGGACAAGGGUUCUCUUCCCUAUCUGCCACUUAUUAGCUAUGUGACCUCGUGUAAGUCUCUUUUCUUUUUGAGACAGGGUCUCCCUCUGUC
rnacentral:lncRNA from 10 species